CAUGAGAAGGUUGAAGAGAGCUCCAAUAGGCCUUGGAGGACUGAACCCACGUAUGUGCAAAAUACGGGGAUGACUUAUGGCGAGGGGUGAAAGGCCAACCAAGAUCCAAUAUAGUUGGUUUUCUGUGAAAUCUAUUUCAGUAGUGUGUGUGUAUAACAUGGCUCUAGGUAGAGCACUCAAUGGUCUAGGGUGGCCUAAUGCUUGACCAACCCCAAGGAAACUCCAAGUACAAGCCUAAUCAAUCAUAUAGACAAAAUUUGGGUGCUAAGAUCCAGAGUUGAGAGGGAAACAACCCAGAUCAUACGCUAAGGUCCCUAAGCAAUCAGUUAAUGGAAAAGGAAGUGAUUGAGCGAUGAUAACUAGGAGGUGGGCUUGGAAGCAUCCAUCCUUCAAAGAAAGCUUAAUAGCUCACUGGUCUAGCUCGCAUGGCACCGAAAAAUGUAAUCGCGGGCUCAAGUGAUUCACCGAAGGCGACGAUACUUGAAGCAUUAAGCGGGCUCUCAGACCAAGGUUCUUUAUUGCUCCACCACUAAGGGUGAGGUAAUACCUUGCAUGACUAACAGGGGAGGAGGGCGAGAAAGCGAGGUGCCAACCUAGUGUUAGUAGCGGGAUGUUCUGCCAAUCGAGGAAGGGACAACACCUAGAGAUAUCAGAAGUGAGAAUGAUGACAUGAGUAGCAAUGAAUCAUGUGAAAAACACAAUCACCUGCUAGUUAUAGGGUUUUUCCGUUAAGUCAAUCUACGCAGAGUGAUAGGUUCCUAAGAACCCCCGAAAGGGCUUUCGUCCGAUGGUACCGAAAGUGACAAAGUUGCCCCGACUUACUAAAACUGCAUUUGUUGAAUGAAUUGGGAUGAGAGUUCAAUUUUCUUACCAACCAAAUUAAAUGAAUGGAAAAGCGCACCUUUUUUAGGGUUUCAACUUCUAGGAAAAAACUUUGAANNNNNNNNNNNNNNNNNNNNACAAACUUUGGGUGCUAAGAUCUAGAGUUGAGAGGGAAACAACCCAGAUCAUACGCUAAGGUCCCUAAGCAAUCACUUAGUGGAAAAGGAAGUGAUUGAGCGAUGAUAAGCAGGAGGUGGGCUUGGAAGCAUCCAUGCUUCAAAGAAAGCUUAAUAGCUCACUGUUCUAGCUCCAUGGCACCAAAAAUGCAUCGGGGCUCAAGUGAUUCACAGAAGCAAUGAGACCUUGGAAGUGUUAAGCGGGAUCUCAAGACCCAAGGUUCUUUACUGCUCACCCAUAAGGGUGAGUUAUUUCUUUUGCGACUAACAAGAGAGGUAAUUUCUUGCUUGAUUAAUAGGAGAGGUAAUACCUUGCUUGACUAACAGGAGAGGAGGGCGAGAAAGCGGAGGUGUGCCAACCAGUGUUAGUGUGGGAGUUCUGUCAAUCGGGGAAGGGACAACACCUAGAGAUAUCAGAAGUGAUAUUGCUGACAUGAGUGACGAUGAAUCAUGUGAAAAACAUGAUUUCCUGCUAAUUCCAUGGUUUUUGCGUUCAGUCAAUCUAUGCAGAGUGAAUUGGUCCCUAAGGAACCCCCAAAGGGGCUUUCAUAUUAUGGUUACACAAAAGUGAUGAAGUUGCCCCGACUACUGAAACACAUGCUUAUCUGUUUGAAGUGAAUUGGAUGAGAGUUCAAUUUUCUUACCAACCAAAUUAAAUGAAUGGAAAAGCGCACCUUUUUUAGGGUUUAAACUUCUAGGAAAAAACUUUGAAUUGGGAAGCCGAUCCUCUCGGUGAACUAACCAUACCCCAAAUUGACACAGGUGAAUAAGUAGAGUAUACUAGGGUGCUUAAGAGAACCAUGUUGAAGGAACUUAGCAAAAUGACCCCAUAUCUUUGGUAGAAGGGGUGCUCCCCUCCUAUCUUUUGGGUUUGGGAAAGCAAACACAUAUAGGCGGUAGCGACUGUUUGUUAAAAACACCGACUCUACCAAAUGUAACAUGAUGUAUAGAGUCUGACACUUGCCAGUUCUAGAAGGUUGGAAGGAGAAGUGUGAUAAUAUUUGAAUGGAAGCAUUGAUAAACAGUGGCAAUAACUCUAACUAUCCUAAGGUAGCGAAAUUCCUUAUCGCAUAAGUAGCGACCUGUGUGAAUGGUGUAAUGAUUGCCCUGUUGUCUCCAACAUGGACCUAGUGAAAUUGAAUUCUCCAUGAAGAUGCAGAGUACCAAUGGCUAGAAAGUAAGACCUCAUGCACCUUAACUACAGCUUCGCAGUGACAACCUCUUACAAUGUGUGGAUAGGUGGGUGGUGGAUUAUCAAUCCUGGAAUACCACUCUUUCAUCUAAGGAUACCUAACCACUUCUCUCUCUAGAUUGAUUCUCAGGGUGGGACACUGCAAGGUGGGUAGUUUAUCUAGGGUGGAUGCCUCGUAAAGAGUAACAGAGGUGUGUGAAGGUAGGCACUUUCAAUAAGUAGGUGUAAUGGUCUAAGCUUUCCUAACUAUGAGACUCACUAAUCGAACAGAGAUGAAAGUCGGCCAUAGUGAUUCGGGAGUCCCACAUGGAAGGGCUCUCGCUCAACGGAACAAAUGUAUGAUAAGGAUAAUAGGCUGAUGACUCCCAAGAGCUCUUAUUGAUGGAGUCGUUUGGCACCUUGAUGUGGACUCAUCACAUCCUGGAGUUGAAGAAGGUCCCAAGGGUUUUGUUGUUCGCCGAUGAAAGGGGUAUGUGAUUUGGGUUUAGAACGUCAUGAAACAGUUCGGUUCCUAUCUACCUUGGUGUUGAAGGGAGAACUGUGAGGAGCCAACCAUAGUACAAGAGGAUUGGGUUGGGCCAACCUAUGGUGUACAGUUGUCACACCUAACCAGGCCAGCAGCCAAGUUGGAUGGAAGAACUACAAGAGCAUCUAAAUGGAAAUCCUUUCUAGAGAAGUUCUCGUACGAGGUGAAAGAACUCACUUCGAUAGGUAAUAGGUGUAAGCACCAUGAGGUGUUCAGCGAUUUCAUACUAAACCGAAAAGAACCUGCUCU
rnacentral:rRNA from 1 species